rnacentral:lncRNA from 1 species
CAAGGAAGUUGACAUGUCAUCACUUCAUUUUUUUGCGCCUGCGCAUAAAUCUGAGAAACGUGAGUUUGUCAUCAUUUUUUAUCUAGACAUAGGAUAGGUUGUGUGAAAAUAUUACUGAUGUUUAACGUUAAAAAUGGACCAAAAGAUUAAUGCUAAACAACAUUUGACAUGUUUGAACGAACAUAAAUAGAUUAUUUACUAGGUUUUUUUAGCUUUUCGGCGUGAUUUUACCAGCCCCCCAACCACGUUUUGUGGGAGCAUAAUGAACGCUAAGUACUUGGUGUUAUUUGGACAUAAAUUAUGAACUUUGUCAAAAGAAACCACAUUUGUUCCGGACCUGGAAUGCCUUCCGGACCUGGGAUCCUGCCUUCUGAUGGAGAUAAUCAAAGGGUGCGUUCAGGAACCUCAGGAAACAGACUCCAAAACAGAAAACAGUCAGCUCAGGCAGAAAACAGACUCAGGAAGCGGGAUUCAUGACAUGAGGUCUGCACAACGCAUCACCGGAGGCAAACUACCUGCUCUCCGAGACACCUACACCACCCGAUGUCACAGGAAGGCCAAAAAGAUCAUCAAGGACAACUACCACCCGAGCCACUGCCUGUUCACCCCGCUAUCAUCCAGAAGGCGAGAGCCCAGUUUUAAGGACACAGGUCUGGUGAAGCGGAAAGCUUGGCUGUCGCCUGGCGUUUGCGUUCAACCGUGGACCAGUGGAGUGACAUUUGGAGGCGGGGGAACAAAAAACGAUCAGAGCAGACGGACGGACAGGGCAGGGUUCCCCCUCGGGACCGGACGAGAGCAGGGUUGGAGGUAGAGAGAAGGGCCGUUACAGAAUUACCCACCACAAGAAGACCAAGCAGCGGAGAAGAGGGCAGAUGGAAGUCAAGGAGGACUAUAGGAAGCAGUGCGCUCGGGAGGAGAUGGCAUCCUGGUCGCUGGAAGUAUUGGAGGCAAGAAUAGACUGGACUUGGGAACAGCUA